rnacentral:rRNA from 1 species
GAUCAUGGCUCAGGAUGAACGCUAGCGGCAGGCCUAAUACAUGCAAGGCGAAGGGGCAGCAAUGUCACUGUCGUACGGGUGCGUAACGCGUAUGCAACCUACCUAUCACAGGGGAAUAGCCUUUGGAAACAGGGAUUAAUACCGCAUAAAGCAGGGACACCGCAUGGUGAUAUUGCUAAAGAUUUAUCGGUGAUAGAUGGGCAUGCGUCUGAUUAGUUAGAUGGUAGGGUAACGGCCUACCAUGACGAUGAUCAGUAGGGGGCGUCAGAGCGUGGUCCCCCACACUGGCACUGAGAUACGGGCCAGACUCCUACGGGAGGCAGCAGUAGGGAAUAUUGGGCAAUGGAUGCAAGUCUGACCCAGCCAUGCCGCGUGAAGGAAGAAGGUCCUCUGGAUUGUAAACUUCUUUUAUCGGGGAAGAAGAAACGCCUUGCGAGGUGAAGUGACGGUACCCGAUGAAUAAGCCACGGCUAACUACGUG